AGAUUCCAUCCUUAGCAUCAGGAAAGAAAAGACCCGGCUUGUGAGCUCCUUGUCCCACCUUCUUUCACUCCAGACGUCCAUCUCCAUCUUUCUCCAUCAGGGACUUUCUGGGCAGGACACUUCCUUGAUCACAUCCCCAGUUUUCCACCCAGGACUUUGUGAAAACUCCUCCAGGCCUGGCUCUUGUGUGCUGGACCUUCUCUUGCGUGGUUAGUUGUAAAACUUGAUGCUUCUGCAGGCAGAUGAUGGCAGAAAGCUCCCACCCCACCACGCUGAUGAUGGCACUCUCGUUGGGUGGUUGUGUGGUCUUCAUACAAUUUCAGGGUAAAUCGCCACUUGAUGUCAUUGCUAAAUGGGAUACCUGAGCUAUGAUGAUUUUGCCUGAUUGUUAAAGUUAGUAUUUUAAGACCAAGGAUGGACAAAAUACGUUAAAAUUGUCUGUAAAAAGGCACAUUUCUGAAUUUGCUUUUAAUACUUUAAAAG
rnacentral:lncRNA from 1 species